GAUGAACGCUGGCGGCGUGCUUAACACAUGCAAGUCGAACGUGAAGAAGCAGCAAUGUUUCUGAAAGUGGCGGACGGGUGAGUAACACGUGGGUGACCUGCCUUGCAGAGGGGGAUAACGAGGGGAAACCUUCGCUAAUACCGCAUAGGCUUACACCGAUGGGAAUGGUGUGGGUAAAACUGAGGUGCUGCAAGAGGGGCCUGCGUCCGAUUAGCUAGUUGGUGAGGUAAUGGCUCACCAAGGCGAUGAUCGGUAGCUGGUCUGAGAGGACGAUCAGCCACACGGGAACUGAGAAACGGUCCCGACUCCUACGGGGGGCAGCAGUGAGGAAUAUUGGGCAAUGGACGAAAGUCUGACCCAGCAACGCCGCGUGGAGGAUGAAGGUUUUUGGAUGUAAACUCCUUUUGUGGGGGAAAGAAUGGAUGGUACCCCAAGAAUAAGUCACGGCUAACUACGUGCCAGCAGCGCGGUAAAGCGUAUGUGU
rnacentral:rRNA from 1 species